rnacentral:rRNA from 1 species
UACGUAGGGUGCGAGCGUUAAUCGGAAUUACUGGGCGUAAAGGGUGCGUAGGCGGUUCCAUAAGUUCCGUGUGAAAUCUCUAAGCUCAACUUAGAAAUUGCACGAAAUACUGUGGAGCUAGAGGGCCGGAGAGGAGACUGGAAGUCCCGGUGUAGCGGUGAAAUGCGUAGAUAUCGGGAGGAACACCAGUGGCGAAGGCGAGUCUCUGGAAGGUUCCUGACGCUGAGGCACGAAAGCUAGGGGAGCAAACAGG